UACGGAGGGGGCGAGCGUUAUUCGGAAUUAUUGGGCGUAAAGGGCGCGUAGGCGGCUUGACAAGUCAAAGGUGAAAUCCCUCGGCUCAACUGAGGAACUGCCUUUGAAACUGUCUGGCUUGAGGCCGGGAGGGGGUAGCGGAAUUCCCAAUGUAGCGGUGAAAUGCGUAGAUAUUGGGAGGAACACCAGUGGCGAAGGCGGCUACCUGGACCGGUUCUGACGCUGAGGCGCGAAAGCGUGGGUAGCAAACAGG
rnacentral:rRNA from 1 species